GAUGAACGCUAGCGGCAGGCUUAAUACAUGCAAGUCAAGGGGGUAGCAAUACAACCGGCGCACGGGUGAGUAACGCGUACACAACAUGCCAUAUACUGGGGUAUAGCUUCGGGAAACUGAAGGUAAUCCCCCAUAACAUUGCGAAUAGGCAUCUAAUUGCAAUUAAAGUUCCGACGGUAUAUGAUAGGUGUGCGUCUGAUUAGCUAGUUGGUAGGGUAACGGCCUACCAAGGCGAUGAUCAGUAGGGGGCGUGAGAGCGUGACCCCCCACACGGGUACUGAGGCACGGACCCGACUCCUACGGGAGGCAGCAGUAAGGAAUAUUGGUCAAUGGAGGGAACUCUGAACCAGCCAUCCCGCGUGCAGGAUGAAGGGGCUCUGCCCUGUAAACUGCUUUUGAAUGGGACGAAAAAGCCUCACUUGUGAGGAACUGACGGUACCAUUAGAAUAAGCACCGGCUAACUCCGUGCCAGCAGCCGCGGUAAU
rnacentral:rRNA from 1 species